rnacentral:rRNA from 1 species
GAUGAACGCUGGCGGCGUGCUUAACACAUGCAAGUCGAACGGAAAGGCUCCUGUCUGCAGGGGUACUCGAGUGGCGAACGGGUGAGUAACACGUGGGUGAUCUGCCCUGUACUUCGGGAUAAGCUUGGGAAACUGGGUCUAAUACCGGAUAUGACAAUCUCUUGGAUGGGGUUGUGGAAAGCUUUUGCGGUAUGGGAUGAGCUCGCGGCCUAUCAGCUUGUUGGUGGGGUAAUGGCCUACCAAGGCGUCGACGGGUAGCCGGCCUGAGAGGGUGUACGGCCACAUUGGGACUGAGAUACGGCCCAGACUCCUACGGGAGGCAGCAGUGGGGAAUAUUGCACAAUGGGCGCAAGCCUGAUGCAGCGACGCCGCGUGGGGGAUGACGGCCUUCGGGUUGUAAACUCCUUUCGCAACCGACGAAGCUUUUGUGACGGUAGGUUGAGAAGAAGCACCGGCUAACUACGUG